GCCUUUCUAUGACCCAGACGAUCGCGCGCGGUCGUCUCAUCUUUCUUGGAAUUUAUUCUUUCGGAUCUUUUUCGCUAACAGGAUAUUUCUUUUAUUUAUCAGAACUGAACGAUUCGCACGUCAUUACUAAAAAAACUAGCAACGUCAAGAUGAGAUGAAAAAUAGAGACAGAGAUAAAGAUAGAGAUAGAGAGAAAAGAUAGAACAUAGUUCAAGGAAUACGAGGAGAUUUGGCUUUGCGACUCGAUAAACGAUGAGAAACAUCUUUAAAAAUGUUUCACUACGUGAAUUCUGGUGAUGGAGGAAGGUUUGUCAUCUUUGAGUUUGCCGGGAUAAAUAUCUAAAGAGACCGCGUUAGUACUUGACGUUUAUAGAAGGAUCAUGCUAAUUAACUAUCAUUACGUCGGCUAACAUAAUAAACGAGAGGAAAGUUUCUGUCGUUUCUCUAACCUCGUCGUUGUACGAUAAAAAUGAAUAUCAAAGUUCGAGAAGGAGUCAGUGAUGGUCGAUAGACGGCUACGAAAAACAGGAUCGAGAGCGGGCCAGGAUUCAGGAUAUCUGGACGAUGACGUGACUGACUCGCCCAAGGACAAGUAAGCGAGCAAGCGAGCAAGCGAUCGAGCGAGAGAGAGAGAGAGAGAGAGAGAGAGAGAGAGAGAGAGAGAGAGAGAGCGAGCAAGCGAACAAGCAAACGAACAAGCAAGCGAGCAAGACUCUCUCAAAGUCCUGCGCGAAAGAUCGCAAACGCCGAGGACGAUGGCGGCGCCGAUAAGGAGCCACCACCCCACCAUCACUUUGGCCUCACGAAAAACAGAAAGGCGCGAGAGUGACGCGUUAACGAAAAAGAAAAAAAAAAAAAAAGAAAAAGAAAAAAAAAAGAAAGAAAAAGAAACGAAAAGAAAAGGAAAAAAAAAAAGAAGAAACAGAAGCAGAAAAAAAAAUAAAAGAAAUAUCGUGCUUAGCCUCGAGCUAGGUAUAUACCAACGCGUCUAUUACACAUACAUUAUUCAAAGCAAUCGCCAAAAAGUCUCGUUGCGAAUUCAGCACGAUGCACCGUAACCGGGUAGCAACAGGACCCGGCAACAGGCUCUCUCUCUCUUUCUUUCUUUCUCUUUCUGUCCCUUCUCUCUUACCACGGCACUUCUCUCCGCACUCUCUGCCACUCCUUCCCUCUCUUACUUGUUCGCUUGCUUGCUCGCUCGCGCGUUCGCUCGUUCGACAGCCUCCCGCCAUCUCUCUUCCUCUUUCAUUUCAUUCGGACGGACAACACACGAGACCACCGUCACCGCUUUCUCGUCGCGGCGUGCUCGUUUAACGACGCUACACGCCGAGAUGCCGCCGCCGCCACCGCCACCGCCGCCACACCACCACACCACCAUCACCACCACCACCACCACCAUCACCAUCACCAUCACCAUCACCAUCACCAUCACCAUCACCAUCACCAUCACCACCAUCGUCGCCUAUCUCUUUUGCUUUCCUUUUGUCCGCUCCUCUUUUCUCCUUUCUUUUUGCAUCCUCUCCGAUUCAGUUUUUUUGACAACUUUCUUCUCCAUUAUCAACGGAUGUUCACACCAAAAGCAACGUCCAAAUUCUUAAAGCAAAGGUGGUAUACACAUCGAAGAUCUUUAUUUGUGAUCUAGAAGGUAUUAAGAGUAAAAGAGAGACCUCGGCUGAUGAUCGAGAGAUCGAUUCCAUGUACGUAUCCCGACGCCGAAGAAUGUAACGCCGGUCGCAUACCAAGGCAUUGCAACGAGCGACCUCACGCAACGAUUCGAUAUGCGAUACAACAUAUGCAACGUGCUUUCUCGCAUACCAAGCCGUAUUAACCGAAGCUUCCACAAAUUUUCGGCAAAUAUAUUUCUUCCAUCGCUACGAUUGUCAACAUCGCUUUGGAUACCAU